UCGUCCUGUUCUUUGCAAAACAGUUUAUCCACCGGGUUGAUAUGUGACCCAUGUAUGAAUGUAUGAUUUCUACUUAUUUUUGACCUUAAAUGUAAAGUUUAACAAUUUUUACACAUCCAUUGUUCACAUAAGUUACACCCCGGUCCUCUCAUACAGAUGUCACAGGACUUCGAUGCAGAUUUUGCCAUUUUGGUUGUUUUCUUUUAG
rnacentral:lncRNA from 1 species